rnacentral:lncRNA from 1 species
UCGGUCACACAGCAACGUAUUGGUCGAGCAUUGCAUAAACAUUCCACAUUUACAGUUGAUCUUGAUGAGCUUUCACACGAGGGCAGAUGUACUCAAGUCUGAAGAUAAAGCACAAGAUCGAUCAAAGCCAUAUAUAAUUUCGAAAAUAGGGAUGCAAAGUCAACAACUGAGGUAUGACAUCAAACAGCAUAACUACGGUGCUUACUGCAUAAUGAAUGAAAAUUUUAUGGAAUUGCAACAGCUGGUUGCAAGCAAAGCAGCUGGGCACUUUUUCACUAUCAACGCGAUUUGGUCAUCAAAACAAAACAAAACAAAACGAAACGAAAAUAUUGACAAUGAUACAAUGGUCGCAUGAAAGAAAGAUUAGUAUGGGAGAAAUGGAGCUACACGUGAGCGAGCCACAGUUCUUCAGUAUACCAUGAACAUAUGAAUAGAAAAGAAAAUGAGCCAGGGUUCUUCAAUAUAUCACCAACAUAUGAAUAUAAAAGGAAAUAUGAAACGAAAAUAUCAAAUUUGGUAGGCAGCCAAUACUCAAGCAAACCAACCUCACAUCAAACUUCUUUGAUUCUUCUACAUGAACACUUUUGUUGAGCAAUGAAAAUCAGAGCAGCAUUUAGUUUAGUUUUCCUUUUAAUACCUCAGGUUAUGAAAUAGCAUUCAUGAACCAAUAACUGGCCCAUGAGGGACACAAGCAUCAUCUCAUUAGAGAAAAUAAACAUGUCUAUGCAUUUAACCAUCGCAGCCUCCAAAUAAAUAUAGCUUAAACCAUCCAACUUCUAUCUCACCUUAUUGAAUGUCAACAUAACCAUAGACCAGCACAGAAAGAUGAGCCAGAAACAUCCACAACAAUUUACUAUCCUCAUCAUCAUCCAUAGAUAACUCACUCCAAGAUUCAUCAUUGUCUAAGAUUCAUUAUUGAUCUUUUCCAGUGCCACAACUGAGACAUCAUGAAUGAUGAAAGUGCCAUUUAUCCUGUAAUUACUACUCUAACCAUUACAUCAACCUCCUAUCUUGAUGCAGAGAGUAAUCAUCUUGAACUAAAUUAGCUAGAUAAUCGUCAACCUCCUAUCUUGAUGCAAAGUGACGUUGAACGCAUGAUACACAAGUAGCUUAACAGAGCAAAGGUUCUAACAUGACUCAGUUUUGUCCAAAAUGAAAUAUGCAGGUAGGAUCUAUAUGAAAAUUUAGCUCACAGGUCCCAAACUAGAAAAUCUGUCAACCCUUUUAAAACCAUCCACUUCAAAUGGAUUUUCUUCUGUGUGGGAUUUUCCAAUUAGAAUGCUCACAACAAACCUCGGCUAGGUAACUCAACCAUGUCCUGAAGUUGAAAUGCAAGAAUAUAUCAUUUAAAUCAGAUAACAUGCACCAUCAGGGUAUGUUUGGCGAAACAAAUCUAAGUCUGAGUCAGAUAGAGUCAUUUGAUUGAUACGAGGAAAGGUUGAUAUUACGUUGCACAAAAGCAUGGAGAGCUUUGAAGAGAAGUGAAUCAUAAUAUAGAUCAUAAAAAUAAAUAAUAAAUAAUUGAAGAGCAAUAAAAGUUAGAAAGAAAAUCGCAAGAAAGAAAAAUGAGAAUGGAAAUGCUGCUGUAGAUGGGUGAUAGAUUAAUGAGAUGCAUACCUUUCCUUAUCAGGUAACAGUCUUGGCCUUAACAAUGAUGACUGGGCAUUGCACAUGGUUCGCACAGAAGUUGCUUACACUUCCCAGAAACAUCCU